AGCAGGCCAAGCCCGCCCAGCCAGGACUCGCUUCUCCAUCCCUGGCCGAAGGGACGCCCCGAAAUGUGCUCCUCACUCCUGAGGAAAGGGUGACUUUUUUCUCGAUGACGUCUGAAAGUUUUCUUUUUAAAGAAGAGCCUACAGAAGAGCAAGGUUUUAACAGGUGGCUCACUUCACCUCCACUCCAUUUAAAAGAUGCCUGAAUUCAGGACAGAUGAAUGCACUCCCAGCAUAGGCUGCAUCAAUAUGCAUCCAGAUGUUUUC